AUAACAACCGCGACAGACAGGACGAGCCCCUGGUCCAGCAUGAUCUCGGAAACAGGGCAGGUGGCUGGGCAGCAUCCUCUGGAGUCCAGGCCUGAAGAUCAGCACUCUAUAGAUACAGGUUGUUUCCAAAGAGGGAACAGCAGCACCUUGUCCAGCAUGCUGCAAGGGGACAGCCAGAGCGUGCUCAGCACCCUGAGCCCACCCAUGAGCCCUUACACAGGUGGGAACAGUCCCUGGGGAGCAGCAGGAGACUUCCAGACCUUCAACACCAGCACAGAAACAGCAGAGAAGGAGCCACUUUGGCCAGUUGAAGGGAGCCUCUGGAACAGAGUACUGAACACUGAACCCAUAAAGAAAAGUGUGGAGUUCCAUGCAGGCUCCAAGGAACUGCUGCCAUCUCCGGGAGACAUGGGUUUGACCAAUCAAAAAACUACUGAGAGAGAGGAGGAGGAGGAGGAAAAUGCUGAGGUUGUAAAUGGAGAUCAUCAAGGCAAGGAAGGAAGUGGUUCUGAUGAGAACUGUGUUCAGAGUGUAUCAGCCCAAGCUGGCUCAGAAAGAAAUAGUGAGAGCUUCCCUGAUGACGGCAGUGAAGACCCAGUGGAAAGCUCAGAAAACCUCAUCAAACAAAAAAUCACUUUCUGA
rnacentral:lncRNA from 1 species